ensembl:lincRNA
GUCACCCUGUAAAUCUGUCCUGAACCCGCACUAACACAGAAUAGAGCAGAUCCACUCCUCGGACCAGGUCACUGUGUUCGGCUAGUUGGCUGUGCUGGAUCCAGCUGCUGGAGAUCAGUGGAGCGCUCUCAGACACGCUGCAGGCCGCCUGUAGAUGUUGGCGGUAGAGGCAGACAGACGGCCAGCAGAUCAGCGGUGUGUUCGUGCUGCUGGAUUAUGUAGAAAUAAAUACCAGAUUACUGCAUGUUCAGCACCAACACAGCAUCACUGCAGCAGCGGCAGAGCUGAGUUACUGUAUCAGGGUCAGCCUCUGCAGUUCUGAACGUGUCCGACUUCAGUCUCCUUUAACUUGUUCUGUGUGUGGCAGGUGAAGGGUCUGGAGCAGGAGAACACACACCUGAAGCAGACCAUCUCCACUCUCCGCCAGCGCUCGCAGGUCAGCGCAGAAGCCCGAGUCAAAGACAUCGAGAAGGAGAACCGGCUGCUGCACGAGUCCAUCUCUGAGACCAGCAGCAAAGCCAACCAGCUGGAGUUCCAGAGCAAGCAGCUGCGCAGAGAGCUGGAGCUCCAGAAGGAGAGAGCGGAGCGGGCGGAGGAGCUGGAGCUGGAGCUGCGGCGGGUGGAGCGAGAGAAGGAGAGCCUGCAGAAGAAGCUGGCAACGCUGACCAUCACCUGCGGGAAGGUGGAGGUGCUGGAGAAGGAGAACACACAGCUGGAGGCCGAGGCCAGGAAACUGAAGAAAGCCCUGGACAGCCUGAGGAACGCCUCCUAUCAGCUGGAGGCUCUGGAGAAGGACAAUACCCAGCUGGACCAGGAGAACCUGGAGCUCCGGCGCGUGGUGGAGUCUCUGCGGUCCACUGGAGCCAAAGCAGAACAGCUGGAGAUGGAGAACCGAGAGCUGGAGGAUGAGAGGACACAGCUCCGCAAGAGUCUGGAGCUGCUGAAGGCUUCCGCCAAGAAGAACGAGCGUUUGGAGGUCAGUUACCAAAGCCUGGAUGCGGAGAACCAGCGGCUGCAGAAAGCCCUGGAGAACGGCACCCGCAAGAUCCAGCAGCUGGAGGGAGAACUGCAGGAGGUGGAGCUGGAGAACCAGAGCCUGCAGCAGAGCCUGGAGCAGCUGAAGAUAUCCAGCAAAGGCUUGGAGCCGCUGGCGCAGGAGAACCGGGUUCUGGAGCAGGAGAACACGCAGCUGGAGAAGGACAAGAAGCAGCUGGAGAAGGAGAACAAGCGGCUGCGGCAGCAGGCCGACAUCAAGGACUCCAAGCUGGACGAGGACAACCUGCGCAUCUCUCAGCUGGAGAAGGAGAACCGCAGUCUGGGCAAGGAGAUCAGCGCUCUUAAAGACAUCUGCGGGAGACUGAAGGAGCUGGAGAAGGAGAACCGGGAGCUGGUCAAGCAGUCCACCAUCGACAAGAAGACUCUGGCAGCUCUGAGAGAGGAGCUGGUCAACGAGAAAUUGAAGACCCAGCAGAUCAACAAUGACCUGGAGAAGCUGACCCACGAGCUGGAGAAGAUCGGCCUCAACAAAGAGGGUCUUCUGGGCGAUGAGGAGAGCUCCGAUGACAGGUUUAAGCUUCUGGAGAGUAAGCUGGAGUCCACGCUGAGGUCGUCUCUCGAGAUUAAAGAGGAGAAGAUCGCAGCGCUGGAGGCCCGUCUGCAGGAGUCCUGCAACCUGAACCAGCAGCUGCGGCAGGAGCUCAAAACGGUGAAGAAGAACUAUGAGGCUCUGCGUCAGCGUCAGGAGGAGGAGAGUUCAGCACACAGCUCUCCGGCGCGGGGUCGGGAAGACCUGAGCUUCAGCCGCUGGGAGAAGGAGAGCCAGGAGGCCACGAGGGAGCUGCUGAGGGUCAAAGACCGGCUCAUCGAGGUGGAGAGAAACAACGCCACUCUCCAGGCGGAGCGGCAGGCCCUGCGGACGCAGCUGAAGCAGCUGGAGACUCAGAGCAGUAACCUGCAGGCGCAGAUCCUGGCGCUGCAGAGGCAGACCGCAUCCCUGCAGGAGAACAACACCACGCUGCAGACGCAGAACGCCAAACUGCAGGUGGAGAACUCGACCCUGAACUCGCAGAGCGCCUCUCUGAUGUCCCAGAAUGCUCAGCUGCAGACGCUGCAGUCCGGCACGGAGGGCGAGAGAGAUGCGGCCGUGCGGGAGAAGGAGGAUCUGCGGUCCGUGUAUGAGCUGCUGCUGCGCGACCACCAGAAGCUGUCAGCGCUUCACGAGCGACAGGCGGCCGAGUAUGAGGAGCUGAUCGGCAGACACGGAGAGCUGAAGAGCGGACACAAGAGCCUGGAGCUGCAGCACCGCGGCCUGGAGAACAGGUAUAAUCAGCUCCUGAAGCAGAAGACUGAGCUGGAGCAGCUGGAGAAGGAGCUGAAAGCGGAGCGGGAGAAGNNNNNNNNNNNNNNNNNNNNNNNNNNNNNNNNNNNNNNNNNNNNNNNNNNNNNNNNNNNNNNNNNNNNNNNNNNNNNNNNNNNNNNNNNNNNNNNNNNNNACACACACACACACACACACACACACACACACACACACACACACACACACACACACACACACUGCUGUUAA